AUUGAAAAACCGGUUCCCGUAUUAUCACCGAAGUUAAGCAACGUUGAUUCUGGUUAGUACCUAGAUGGGUGACCGUUUGGAAAUCUCAGAUGCUGUAU